rnacentral:rRNA from 1 species
GACGAACGCUGGCGGCGUGCUUAACACAUGCAAGUCGAACGGAAAGGCCCUGCUUUUGUGGGGUGCUCGAGUGGCGAACGGGUGAGUAACACGUGAGUAACCUGCCCUUGACUUUGGGAUAACUUCAGGAAACUGGGGCUAAUACCGGAUAGGAGCUCCUGCUGCAUGGUGGGGGUUGGAAAGUUUCGGCGGUUGGGGAUGGACUCGCGGCUUAUCAGCUUGAUGGUGGGGUAGUGGCUUACCAAGGCUUUGACGGGUAGCCGGCCUGAGAGGGUGACCGGCCACCUUGGGACUGAGAUACGGCCCAGAAUCCUACGGGAGGCAGCAGUGGGGAAUAUUGCACAAUGGGCGGAAGCCUGAUGCAGCAACGCCGCGUGCGGGAUGACGGCCUUCGGGUUGUAAACCGCUUUCGCCUGUGACGAAGCGUGAGUGACGGUAAUGGGUAAAGAAGCACCGGCUAACUACGUG